GAGAGAGAGAGAGAGAGAGAGAGAGAGAGAGAGAGAGAGAGAGAGAGAGAGAGAGAGAGAGAGAGAGCAAGCGAGCGCAACGGAGCGAGGAUUACUCGCUUCCUCCUACAUUCAAUGAAAAAUGUCGGAAAUGUGUUUGCGUGCCAUUCAAUGGAGAUAAUCACGGUGUGCCGUUCUUUUUGAUUUGAUAUUCUACUACCGCGAUUUUUUAACUUUCGAUGAGCUAAAAGAGACAGAUAGAAAGAGAAAAAGAGAAAGAAAGGAAAUGGAGAAAUGAUACUGUCCUUGUCAGUUUGAUAGUAUUUCCCAGAGGGGGAGAGAAAGA